rnacentral:rRNA from 1 species
UACAGAGGGUGCGAGCGUUAAUCGGAAUUACUGGGCAUAAAGCGCGCGUAGGCGGCUUUUCAAGUCGAUUGUGAAAUCCCCCGGGCUUAACCUGGGAGCUGCAGUCGAGACUGUCUAGCUAGAGUAUGGGAGAGGGAAGUGGAAUUUCAGGUGUAGCGGUGAAAUGCGUAGAUAUCUGAAGGAACAUCAGUGGCGAAAGCGACUUCCUGGACCAAUACUGACGCUCAUGUGCGAAGCGUGGGAGCAACAGG